AGCUUUGCGUGGUGUCGCUAUCAUAGCCAAUGAGGUUUAUCCGAGGCAUGAUUAUUGCUAAUUGAAACUUUAGAAAAAAAG
rnacentral:snRNA from 1 species